rnacentral:rRNA from 1 species
GACGAACGCUGGCGGCGUGCCUAAUACAUGCAAGUCGAGCGCAGGAAACCGUCAGAACCCUUCGGGGGGACGACGGUGGAAUGAGCGGCGGACGGGUGAGUAACACGUAAGAACCUGCCCAUAGGUCUGGGAUAACCACGAGAAAUCGGGGCUAAUACCGGAUGUGUCAUCGGACCGCAUGGUCCGCUGAUGAAAGGCGCUCCGGCGUCGCCCAUGGAUGGCUUUGCGGUGCAUUAGCUAGUUGGUGGGGUAACGGCCCACCAAGGCGACGAUGCAUAGCCGACCUGAGAGGGUGAUCGGCCACACUGGGACUGAGACACGGCCCAGACUCCUACGGGAGGCAGCAGUAGGGAAUCUUCCACAAUGGACGAAAGUCUGAUGGAGCAACGCCGCGUGAACGAUGAAGGCUUUCGGGUCGUAAAGUUCUGUUGUAAGGGAAGAACAAGUGCCGCAGGCAAUGGCGGCACCUUGACGGUACCUUGCGAGAAAGCCACGGCUAACUACGUGCCAGCCGCCGCAGUAA